rnacentral:rRNA from 1 species
GAGGAAUAUUGGUCAAUGGGCGAGAGCCUGAACCAGCCAAGUAGCGUGCGGGAUGAAGGCCCUUGUGGUCGUAAACCGCUUUUAUCAGUGAAUAAAGUGCACCACGUGUGGUGUCAUUGCAGGUAGCUGAAGAAAAAGGACCGGCUAAUUCCGUGCCAGCAGCCGCGGUAAUACGGAAGGUCCGGGCGUUAUCCGGAAUUAUUGGGUUUAAAGGGAGCGCAGGCGGGAGUGUAAGUCAGCUGUUAAAUAUCAGGGCCCAACUCUGUUAUGCAGUUGAAACUAUAUUUCUUGAGUACGCACAGGGAUGGCGGAAUUCAGGGUGUAGCGGUGAAAUGCUUAGAUAUCCUGAAGAACUCCGAUCGCGAAGGCAGCCAUCCGGAGCGUAACUGACGCUGAGGCUCGAAGGUGCGGGUAUCAAACAGGAUUAGAUACCCUGGUAGUCCGCACGGUAAACGAUGAAUACUCGCAGUUCGGUCUUUAUGGUCGAGUUGUCCAGCGAAAGCGUUAAGUAUUCCACCUGGGGAGUACGCCGGCAACGGUG